rnacentral:rRNA from 1 species
AGAGUUUGAUCCUGGCUCAGGACGAACGCUGGCGGCGUGCCUAACACAUGCAAGUCGAGCGGAGAUAUAUUGAAGAGUAAUCUGAUAUGUAUCUUAGCGGCGGACGGGUGAGUAACGCGUGGGCAACCUGCCUCAAACAGGGGGAUAACACAGGGAAACUUGUGCUAAUACCGCAUAAAAUCAUAGGAGGACAUCCUCUA